rnacentral:rRNA from 1 species
AUGCACGCUGCCGCCGUCCCUAAUACAUGCAAGUCGCGCGCACAGACGAGGAGCUUGCUCCUCUGACGUUAGCGGCGGACGGGUGAGUAACACGUGGAUAACCUACCUAUAAGACUGGGAUAACUUCGGGAAACCGGAGCUAAUACCGGAUAAUAUAUUGAACCGCAUGGUUCAAUAGUGAAAGACGGUUUUGCUGUCACUUAUAGAUGGAUCCGCGCCGCAUUAGCUAGUUGGUAAGGUAACGGCUUACCAAGGCGACGAUGCGUAGCCGACCUGAGAGGGUGAUCGGCCACACUGGAACUGAGACACGGUCCAGACUCCUACGGGAGGCAGCAGUAGGGAAUCUUCCGCAAUGGGCGAAAGCCUGACGGAGCAACGCCGCGUGAGUGAUGAAGGUCUUCGGAUCGUAAAACUCUGUUAUUAGGGAAGAACAAAUGUGUAAGUAACUAUGCACGUCUUGACGGUACCUAAUCAGAAAGCCACGGCUAACUACGUG